rnacentral:lncRNA from 1 species
AGGCAUCAAUUUUAUAAUUCAUAGGUUAAUGGGUUAGCUUAAGUCAAGUCUAUUUAACUAGAUUAGACCUAGGGAUAGAAAUCAUUGAUAAUGGACCAUGUUAGUAAUUGAUUAAAUCUAAUUAAGAGUUAAUUUUGAUUGGAUCAAUUUUUUCUCUUGAUCAAUUUUCAAUAAUUGUAGUUGGUUAAGUCCAUGUGUUUGAUUAGACCAAGAUGGAUCUUGAUCAUAGCUUCGUGGUCGAAUCCAAAUCUAUAAGUCGAUCAAAUUGAAACUGGUUAACCAGUUGGUAUCUAAGAUAAGUUUGGC